rnacentral:lncRNA from 1 species
AACAGCUACUCCCGGGAGAACGUCCAUUUAGCGAUCAGAUUUUAUAAUUUUAUGGGUAGAAUUACCGAAAUAAACAGGUUUUUAAAAUAGUUUAAAACACUAGGAUUUCAAAAAUAAAUUCAGAGAACUUCCAGAGAAGCUUUUGAUUCGCUGUUGACUUCUCCGGACGCCAGAGGGCGAAACUGAGCGGAGCGCGAGGAAGAGAAGAAGAAGAACCGUAAACAAACCGAGCGGAGCCGCAGCUGCACCGUCGCUCCGCCGCGGCGGGAAGGAGAUGCCGACGCUCAGCAGACGGACUCUGGACAGGAUCCAGUCCGCGGUUCUGCUGGCCGUGGUGGUUCUGUCCUGGUCUUAUGUGAUCUACGCCGGCAGGGUGGCGGCGCUGUGGAUGCUGGAGAAAAGGACCGAGGUCCAGAACUGACGGGAGAACCAGAACCUGCUGGAGAACCAGAAUCAAAACCUGCUGGAGGUCCAGAACCUGCUGGAGAACCAGAACCAGAACCUGCUGGAGAACCAGAACCUGCUGGAGAAGAGGACCGAGGUCCAGAACUGACGGGAGAGCCGGAACCUGCUGGAGAACCAGAACCAGAACCUGCUGGAGAACCAGAACCAGAACCUGCUGGAGAACCAGAACCAGCUGGAGAAAAGGACCGAGGUCCAGAACUGACGGGAGAACCAGAACCUGCUGGAGAACCAGAACCAAAACCUGCUGGAGGUCCAGAACCUGCUGGAGAACCAGAACCAAAACCUGCUGGAGGUCCAGAACCUGCUGGAGAACCAGAACCUGCUGGAGAACCAGAACCAGAACCUGCUGGAGAAAAGGACCGAGGUCCAGAACUGACGGGAGAACCAGAACCUGCUGGAGAACCAGAACCAAAACCUGCUGGAGGUCCAGAACCUGCUGGAGAACCAGAACCUGCUGGAGAAAAGGACCGAGGUCCAGAACUGACGAGAGAACCAGAACCUGCUGGAGAACCAGAACCAGAACCUGCUGGACAACCAGAACCUGCUGGAGAAAAGGAGAGAGGUCCAGAACUGACGGGAGAGCCGGAUCCUGCAGAGCAGGAGGUACAGAACCUGCUGGACAACCAGAACCUGCUGGAGGAAAGGAGAGAGGUCCAGAACUGACGGGAGAGCCGGAUCCUGCUGAGGAAGAGGUCCAGAACCUGCUGGAGAACCAGAACCAGAACCUCCUGGAGAACCAGAACCUGCUGGAGAACUAGAACCUGCUGGAGGUCCAGAACCUGCUGGAGAACCAGAACCAGAACCUGCUGGAGGUCCAGAACCUGCUGGAGGUCCAGAACCAGAACCUGCUGGAGAAAAGGACCGAGGUCCAGAACUGACGAGAGAGCCGGAUCCUGCUGAGCAGGAGGUCCAGAACCUGCUGGAGAACCAGAACCAGAAUCUGCUGGACAACCAGAACCUGCUGGAGAACCAGAACCUGCUGAAGGUCCAGAACCUUUUAAAAUUAAAGAACUGAUUGUUGUUCCAGAUGUGAAAGGAUGUUGGACCUGCGGUGUCUGUCCAGCAGGUGGAGCUGUAGAGUUUACUUCAUGGUCCGUCUCUGGUUCUGAUCGUCUUCUCUGCUCUGAAACAUUUUCUCUGAACGGAUCAUCUGGAGGAUGUCGUGUGGCGUCGCCGUCGGACCGUUUCCCGCCGACGCCGCGAUGUAACACGACACUAAACCAAUCAGAACGUUCGGCCACG